rnacentral:rRNA from 1 species
GACAGAGGGUGCAAACGUUGUUCGGAAUUACUGGGCGUAAAGCGCGUGUAGGCGGCUCGGAAAGUCGGAUGUGAAAGCCCAGGGCUCAACCCUGGAAGUGCACUCGAAACUCCCGAGCUGGAGUCCCGGAGAGGAAGGCGGAAUUCUCGGUGUAGAGGUGAAAUUCGUAGAUAUCGAGAGGAACACCUGUGGCGAAGGCGGCCUUCUGGACGGUGACUGACGCUGAGACGCGAAGGCGUGGGGAGCGAACGGG